rnacentral:rRNA from 1 species
CGGGGUGCAGCAGGCGCGAAAACUUUACAAUGCCGGCAACGGCGAUAAGGGAACCUCGAGUGCCAGGUUACAAAUCUGGCUGUCGUGAUGCCUAAAAAGCAUUGCAUAGCAAGGGCCGGGCAAGACCGGUGCCAGCCGCCGCGGUAACACCGGCGGCUCGAGUGGUAACCGUUAUUAUUGGGUCUAAAGGGUCUGUGGCCGGCCGGGUAAGUCUCUUGGGAAAUCUGGCAGCUUAACUGUCAGGCUUUCAGGAGAUACUGCCUGGCUCGAGGCCGGGAGAGGUGAGAGGUACUUCAGGGGUAGGGGUGAAAUCUUGUAAUCCUUGAAGGACCUCCAGUGGCGAAGGCGUCUCACCAGAACGGACCUGACGGCAAGGGACGAAAGCUAGGGGCACGAACCGGAUUAGAUACCCGGGUAGUCCUAGCCGUAAACGAUACUCGCUAGGUGUCGGCCACGGUACGACCGUGGUCGGUGCCGUAGGGAAGCCGUGAAGCGAGCCACCUGGGAAGUACGGCCGCAAGGCUGAAACUUAAAGGAAUUGGCGGGGGAGCACAAGGGCGAUUCGCGG